rnacentral:lncRNA from 1 species
UGUUGUCGUGCGGCAUGUUCAGCUCGUUGUACGGGCCGGCGUAGAAGUGCACCUCGACUUCCGUGAGCUGGUUGGGACCAGCCAGGUACGCGGCCAGUGCGGUAAGUACCGAGUAAUAGGUGUGGCCGCUGAGGUGGACCCUGAGGCAGGUGAGGUGGCCGCACGAUCCCAGGACGUGAAAUGCUGCGCGAAUGUCGCAGGACGCGGCCCGGAAGCA